UCUCAUUUUAACCAUAAGUGUAUCUAAUUUUGAUUGUUCGUCAUAUUUUUUUUUAAUUAGUAUUUUUGUUAGUGCUUUAUGCGUGACUUAUGUUUUUAAUUUUUUUUAAAUAAAACAGACAAUUAAAGUUUGGCACGGAAAAUUAUGGCUGCCCUUAAA
rnacentral:pre_miRNA from 1 species